rnacentral:rRNA from 1 species
AUUGAACGCUGGCGGCAUGCUUUACACAUGCAAGUCGAACGGUAACAGGGUGCUUGCACCGCUGACGAGUGGCGAACGGGUGAGUAAUGCGUCGGAACGUGCCGAGUAGUGGGGGAUAACGCAGCGAAAGUUAUGCUAAUACCGCAUACGUACUGAGGUAGAAAGUGGGGGACCUUCGGGCCUCACGCUAUUCGAGCGGCCGACGUCUGAUUAGCUAGUAGGUGAGGUAAAGGCUCACCUAGGCGACGAUCAGUAGCGGGUCUGAGAGGAUGAUCCGCCACACUGGGACUGAGACACGGCCCAGACUCCUACGGGAGGCAGCAGUGGGGAAUUUUGGACAAUGGGCGAAAGCCUGAUCCAGCCAUGCCGCGUGUCUGAAGAAGGCCUUCGGGUUGUAAAGGACUUUUGUCAGGGAGGAAAUCCCUAGUGCUAAUACCGCUGGGGGAUGACAGUACCUGAAGAAUAAGCACCGGCUAACUACGUGCCAGCCGCCGCCGUAAGAC